UACGGAGGGUGCGAGCGUUGUCCGGAAUCACUGGGCGUAAAGCGUGCGUAGGCGGGAAUUUAAGUGAGAUGUUAAAUCGUGUGGCUCAACCAUAUCGAUGCGUCUCAUACUGGGUUCCUAGAGGAUGGCAGAGGCAAGUGGAAUUGGUAGUGUAGCAGUGAAAUGCGUAGAUAUUACCAGGAACACCAAUGGCGAAGGCAGCUUGCUGGGCCACCCCUGACGCUGAGGUACGAAAGCGUGGGGAGCGAACAGG
rnacentral:rRNA from 1 species